rnacentral:tRNA from 2 species
GUAGUCGUGGCCGAGUGGUUUAGGCGAUCGACUAGAAAUCCAUUGGGGUCUCCCCGCGCAGGUUCAAAUCCUGGUGACUACG